GUCCUUCUCUUUCGACCGCACACAAACACAGUGUCCCUUCUCUCUCUCAUCCACUCCGGUGACCGGAGUUCGUUAUUCCGGCGACUGCGCCGACCGAUGAUGGUUGAUCCUCCGACAAACCACCCCACAACAACCCUUAUCACCCCUGCUCCCCCUCCCUCACGCUCUCUAACCGGAAACCGGAGUGAAUUCCGGCGAGCCGCACAUCACAACACUCCUCCUCCUUGUUUCACACUUACAAACCCUUCACUCUAUCGUGUCUGACCGUUGAUGGUGGCGAUAGCGCUGUAUAAGGCGGCGGCAGUCGUUUUUUAUCCGUUCUCCGGCGACGGCAGGGCAGUGGUGGAGUCUCGACGGAAUUGAGCAGCGGCAAACGGUGAUUAACGGUGAGGUUAUGUUGACGAUGAUGACAUGGAUGGUAGUUGAGGGUUAACUGUCAGUUUUAGUCUCGGUUCAGUCAGCUCGGGUCAGACCCGGUCAACUGGUCAGUCACGGUCAAAGCAAGUCAACGGACAGAUUCGAGGCAUGUCAGUUCCCGCUCAGUCAACUCAAACUCAGUCAACGCGAGCUUGGUAAACUUUUAAUGACGUAAAUUUUAUUAAGUUAUUUAUGUUGUUUGUAUAUGUUAUCUAGUUUAAAACCGAGUUCGAUACGAUACACUUAUUGAUUAAUUAUGUUUUGACACAUCGAUGGAAAUUUUAUAUAUGUUUUCAUAUUGCGUUGAUUAUUGUUGCGUUUUGACAAAUAUAAGCGACAACUUGUGUUGUCGGGAUCCUCCACAAACAGAGGAAACUCUGUCCGAUUUUCGUGAAAAUAUAUGUUAUAGCCGAAACACCAAUAAAAACGUAUCGAAACUCUAAUGAAGUUUAUAAAGUAAAUAUAAACGAAUAUAUUAUUUUAUGUCGACACUUUUAUAACUUCCAACGCUCCAAUUCUUUACUUAUGCGAGGUCGAGACUCAUGUUCUUCAAGAACUGAAAGGUUACCUCGGUGUCACAUCCUUCAACUCUUCAACUCUCCACGAGACAUGGAAUGCGUUGCGAAAAUGAUUAUGACAGAUGAAUCUAGUAGGAUUGCCUAGAAACGCAUUUAAACUUUAUUGCUCAUUUUUUUGUAAUUUACUUUCAAUCCUGUUGUAUUCUGUUUCCAAUACUUGUAAUAAUUCAUUAUCAGUGAAAUGGAAUUUAAAUAUUUGAAUA